ensembl:lncRNA
UGCAAAAAGAUGUGAAAUCUAUAAAGAAUUUGUAGAUUUUACCGAUUCAGACAACCUGAAGCUCCUCGGGUACUGCAGCACCCGAUGGCUGAGUCUGUUAACCUGUGUCCAGAGAGUGUUGAACCAGUGGGACACACUGCAGGUAAGGAUGGUAACUCCAGCAGAUACAUACAGUUUACUAUAUUAUGUUUUCCUUUUAUUUAACUAUUGCCACCCUGUUUCCCUAUGUACUCUAGUAAGCCCACUUUAACAGUCAUGAGGAGGUGGAGAGGGGUGCCAAAAUACAUGAUUUAGCCAGCCAUCUGCGUGAUCCAGUCAUGAAGAUCUACUUCAUGUUCCUGACUGCUGCCCUUAAAUCUUUAUCUGAUUUUAAUAUUGCCUUCCAGUCAGAGGGAGUACAAAUUCACAGACUUGAAGAGGAAAUGUGCAGGCUGAUCAGGAGGAUCCUGGGCUACCUCAUACCAGCCAGGGCCAUCGUAGGUAUACCUCUCAGGGAGGUGGAGUAUGGACAAGGACAUCAGUAGGCUGAUGAAGAGCUCUUUAUUGGAGCAGACACAAAGGCCUUCAUGAAAAACGUAGAGCUUCCCAUGUCCACUGAGAAGAAAAUCUUUCAGUGAGUAUAUUACCCAGCUGUUUUAUGAUGGCCAUCAUUAGUAUGAGAGAAUAUGCUGUACUGUGCCUAAAAUGCUUAAUGCAGUUUUUUACUCUUACAUUGCUGUAGAUCGGUGAGAAGAUUCUAUGAAGCAGCGCUUCAGAAGAUGUUCUCCUUUCCCCUUGACCAUCCACUCCUGAGGGACUUGAAAGUGCUGGGCCCUGCUGCUCGCCUCGACAUUCCUCCAGGGACAGUGGAAAGGCUAGGGGCCAUGUUUCCUCAGUUGAGCUUGAGUGAAGAUAGGCUGAGAGAGGAACUCACUGACUACCAGGUGACAGAUAGCAACCAACUCCCCCAAGAAGACAACAUUGACAAAUUUUGGGGCCUGCUAGGGAAGGAUGUGAGGUUCAGUAAGCUGCCAAGAUUAAUGAAGGCUUUACUCUGCAUUCCCCACAGCAAUGCCAGUUCUGAAAGGGUGUUUAGUAUGGUGAGAAAGAUUGUUACAUAGAAUAGGAUGUCAUUAGACAACAGCACUGUUUGUGCUUUACUGUCAUGUAAAAUCAACCACUCUGGCCCAGCCUCUUUUACACUCUUUCCAAAAAAGUGUAAAAGAAUGCAAAAUCUGCAACACAUUUGUAUAAUAAGUCAUUAGUGAAUGUCAGAGAGCCACAUGAGUGAACAUGAUAAAUCUAAAGAAAAUGUGUAAUGAACGUAAAAUGUAAAUGUUUAACUUAAAGACAAGCAAUGUGAAAUAAACAGGAAGUAAUGUGUUGACUUGUAUGAUAUAAACUGAAAGAUGUAAAAUCAAUAAAUAUACUUCAUUUACCCUUUUGUGUUUUCAUUUAUGCUGUAAACAGAAUGUUCACAGCAUUUCAAUGUCAACAAAGGUAGGCCUCAGAUUCUGAUCACCGAAUUGUGGUAAGUAGUUGAAAAGUGGUUGUUAUAGAUUUUUUGUACACCUAUCUUACAAUAUAAGAGAUACUAGAGCUCGGUUGUGGUGGUGGGUUGGCUUGCUACGGGUGUUUUCCCUUAUUUUCAAAUCCAAAACUUGACGGGUAUGAGGAGAACAUUUCAGCUGUCUGUCGGCCAAAGGUGCCUUUUUUAAAGGGGUUUAAAUGGGUGAAAGCUGGCACAGUCCUCAUUCUGGGGAUUGUAGCACAAAAAAUGUAAUACCAACAGCAAAACCGAAGACAUCACUUUGAAGCUGACAAAAAACCUACUAAAAUUGAGAAAAUCGUCAGUGUACUAUAAAAGAUGUGGUCGGUGGAAAUUUUUGUUUCAAGAUUUCAUAUAUCAUGCAUUUAACAGAGCUCAGCUGCUCAAAAGUCAUUUAAGACCUCUGAAAAGUCUCAUUGCCAUUCAAAAACUGCUGCACCUAUUGGAAAAAUUCAAAAAGUGUGAGCGGCAGAAGGCUUUAAUGGUCAUCUGUGUGAUUUUUUUUGUGCCUACGAUGAAUUGUCUAGAAGCUAUGACAAGAACACUUUAGCUGUCUGAAGCCGAUCGGAGGAGAAAAUCUCUGUUCCUUUAAUAUGGGUUUCAAGGAGACAGAAUCAGGGUCUCUCCGCCUUCUGAGGCUUGUAGAGAAAGAUCCGUAACACUUAAUGACAAAAUGAAACCCGUUCUGAAAAGCUGACAAAAAUUCCUACUUUUUGAGAUAUAAUUUGUUUCGGUACUCCAAACGGUAUGGGUGUUGGAAAGAAUUGUUUCCAGAAAAUGUGAAGGUCAAAAGUUAGAGUGCAGAAUUUUUAGGUUAGAGUGGUGAGAGACAUUUUUUUUUCCAAUUUUCUCAAACAAAUGAACCGUACGACCACAAUGUUUGGAACUCGUACAUUCAUGAUUUAUAGCUCAAAACGAAGGUACAGUAAUCCCUCGCUACUUCGUGGUUCGUUCAUCGCGGAUUCGCUGCUUCGCGGAUUUUUUCUUUGGAGCAUUUUUCAGGGGGAAUUCGCAGAUUCGCGGUAUUUUUCACUGAUUCGCGGUAUUUUUCUAUGCGAAAUAUCAAGAAAUUCUUUUUUUUUUCAUUAAAAAAUGCACUUUUUGUAAUAAAACUAAAAAAACAAGUAAAAAAAAUUUUUUUCUUGAGUUUAACCCACAAAAAGAGAAUGUGAUCAUACGAUAAUUCAAUAGGGAGCGUGGUUUCACAGACGCGGAAGUGAUGGCGUCGGGGAUCGGUGAAACGCCGGCUGAUCUAGGAAACCCCCGAGCGUUCGAGCGUCAACGAAGUGACACGGAAAUGCCGGGCUUUCCAUAAGUAAGUAAGAUAACUUACUAUGAGCUGAAAGUUCAUUGGGUUGAUCGGUAGGUUGUAAACUCUGAUCAUGAAUCUGAAGAAACGAUGACUGAAUGGUGACCUGGAAAGGCGGCUUCCGUUUAUAGCUGCGGUUUGUGACGUAGGUGCAACGUGGAGGGAAUCCCCGCGAGGGGCAUGCUGGGAGUCCCUACUUCGCGGAUUUUCACCUAUCGCGGCCAGGUCUGGAACGCAUCUACCGCGAUAAACGAGGGAUUACUGUAUAUCCGUUAGCUGCAAGCCAGCGUGCAUCUCAUUUCAAUCUGACUUACGUUUUUCUCAGGACAAUGCCAGAAAUGGAGCAAAAGAGGGUCAUUGCUCCAAUCUCUGCCCAUUAUAAUUUUUGUGAUUUUUUCUGAAAAUCUCAGGCCGUACCUCAACUUCUACCUGUGAUUUUUGAAAAACUGUAAUAGGUGUCAAAAAGAUUUUUUAACCAGUAAUAGCUGAAAGUGUUGUGAGUUUUUGAAACCUGAAUGAAGUCUCUAGGUUAAAGUUAACCUAUAAGAGUAAGAGUUCAAAAAAGUCGUAGGAUUUAGCUGAAAAUUGAGCAAUUCCAUUCAUUUCGAUGGGACCAAAAAUUGAAGAAAAAGCUGUUCUACCGAGUACAUGAUUAUAACAUAGUAGGUAUUUUUGUGCAGGCUUGAACAGUUUGCACGCACAUGAUGUAUGUUGUAGGCUGCGCAGUGACGCAGUGAUUAGAGCUGUUGCCUUGCAGCAAAAAGAUUCUGGGUUCUCCUCCUGGCCUGGGAUCUUUCUGCAUGGAGUUUGCAUGUUCUCCCUGUGCAUGCAUGGGUUCUCUCUAGGUGCUCCGGCUUCCUCCCACAGUCCGAAAACAUGACUGUUAGGUUGAUUGGUCUGUCUAAAUUGUCCUUAGGUGUGAGUGUGUGUGUGCAUGGUUGUUUGUCCUGUGUGUCUCUGUGUUGCCCUGCGAUGGACUGGCUCUCUGUCCAGGGUGUACCCCGCCUAAUUGCCCAUUGGCCGCUGGAGAUAGGCACCAGCCCCUCCACGACCCUACCUGGACAAGCGGGUUCAGACAAUGGAUUGAUGGAUGGAUAGAUGACGUAUGUUAUCCUGCUGGUCGCUGAUUGCUGGAUUUAGUGUCCCAGAACCUGGAUCUAAGCUUGCACUUUCUCAGAACAAACCCCAAAGGCGUUUUCAUAGGUUUGUAAAAUUGUUUUAUUGAAAUUGAAAAUGUGUUGAUUUGCUGAUGUGUUACAUUAAACGAUUAACAAUUCAAACAUGGAAAAAGAUCCCAUUUACGAGUCAAACAGACUGUGACGAAGAAACCUCAAAAGGAGACACAUUAUGAAUUUUUUAACCAAGAUUAUUAGUCCUAUGGGUCAGAUCUACUGGUUCUGACACCUCGCCGGGGUCUCUGGAGGUCUCUGACAGACUCCCAUAACCCAAAACAUGAGAUUAUUUGCACAAAAUCUCUCUCAAGCUGAGAAUUUUCAGCAGUUUUAGUCUUGUUACUUUCAGUAUCUUAUUUAAGAUACUGAAACAAACCCCAGUCUGGCGUGAUCUUCGAGCCAAACCCCAGUCUGGCUCGAAGAUCACGCCAGACUGGGGUUUGCUGGGAGAAUCUGCGCUCGGUUACGGGCACUGAGUUAGAGGGGACUGGGUCCGUGCGCGAUCUCUGUGCUGCAGCCCCGCUGCAGACCCGGUUUGGUUUGGUCAAUGCCAGGUCUGUGCUGAACAAAACUUUUAUUCUUCGUGACUUUUUUAUUCAGCAUGACCUGGGUUUUCUCUGCAUCUGUGAGUCCUGGAUCCCGUUUGGCGACACAAGUUCCCUACUCGAGCUCAUACCACCUGGCUGCUCGUGUUUUAAUAUCCCCAG